UGAACUCCAUGCCUCUUAUUUUCACCAUAUGUCAUCACUAAACAACUGGAUGAGAAGAUUUAUUUCUAAUAUCCAUAUCCAAUAGGACCUCGUUAUGUAUUCUGAUCAAGACUGGAGCAGGGACUUACCCUUAGUGGCCUGCAGGAAGAAAACCAGAGUAGAGUUGAAACUGCAUAGAAAAGAAGGGUUAGCAGCAGAGAUCAUGAAAAUGGUGCAGAUUAUUUAAGAAGGGAAUUGAACUCUAGUGAAACGAAUGCUGCUUACUAGGAAAGAUAGAAGUAAUGUCAAGGGAUUAUCCUUCUUCCAGGACAGUUACUUUUGAAGGAAACAACCAGGCUCAAGGACAUAAGAUAAGUGUAGGAAGUAACUCAGAUAGAGCAGCUCAAGUAAUAUCCAGGGAGUUGGAUGGCAGAGUAGAAUUGUGGGAGCUU
rnacentral:lncRNA from 1 species